rnacentral:ncRNA from 1 species
CACCGAGAAGGGCAAACCGUUCGAAAGGGCGGGGCGCAAAGUCAUGGGCCUAAGGCGGGAUCUAAGCUAAGGCUGCCAGGCUGCCGGU